rnacentral:rRNA from 1 species
GAUGAACGCUGGCGGCGUGCCUAAUACAUGCAAGUCGAGCGAACGGACGAGAAGCUUGCUUCUCUGAUGUUAGCGGCGGACGGGUGAGUAACACGUGGAUAACCUACCUAUAAGACUGGGAUAACUUCGGGAAACCGGAGCUAAUACCGGAUGAUAUUUUGAACCGCAUGGUUCAAAAGUGAAAGACGGUCUUGCUGUCACUUAUAGAUGGAUCCGCGCUGCAUUAGCUAGUUGGUAAGGUAACGGCUUACCAAGGCAACGAUGCAUAGCCGACCUGAGAGGGUGAGAGGCCACGCUGGAACGGGGACACGGUCCAGACUCCUACGGGAGGCAGCAGUAGGGAAUCUUCCGCAAUGGGCGCAAGCCGGACGGAGCAACGCCGCGUGAGUGAUGAAGGUCUUCGGAUCGUAAAACUCUGUUAUUAGGGAAGAACAUAUGUGUAAGUAACUGUGCACAUCUUGACGGUACCUAAUCAGAAAGCCACGGCUAACUACGUG